GUCGUAACAAGGUUUCCGUAGGUGAACCUGCGGAAGGAUCAUUAUUAAAACUAGAGUGCACUUAAUUGUGGCUCAAAUUUUACAACAAUUUACACCAUGGUCUUCGGGACACUGCAACUCUGUUGCAAAUUUAGAACCCAGUGUGUAGGCAUAUCUCUCUCUGUAAAAAGGAGAGGAUAUGUUCUAUUCUUUUUUACUACAUGUUUUAGAAUAAUAAAUUUAUCUAACAAAUAAAUUAAAAUAAAACUUUUAACAAUGGAUCUCUUGGCUCUCACAUCGAUGAAGAACACAGUGAAAUGUGAUAAGUAAUGUGAAUUGCAGAAUUCAGUGAAUCAUCGAAUCUUUGAACGCAUCUUGCACCUUUUGGUUAUUCCAGAAGGUACACCUGUUUGAGUGUCAUGAAUUUAGUCAAGUUCAACUUGUUUAUUUAUUUAAACUUGUUGCUAACUUGGAUGUUGGGUGCUUGCCAUUAAUGAUUUAAUGGCUCACCUAAAAUGUAUUUAGGCCAUUUAUUGAAAAGAGUAGCUUAUAUAGUUCUGGUGUGAUAUAAUGUUUUUCAUCAGAAUAAGUAAGCAAUUAUGCUCUAAUCAAUGACCUUUUAUAAAAGUAACAAAGGUACUAGUCAAAGCUAUUAUCUUUAUUUUUUAUCAUCAGACCUCAAUCAGGUGGGACUACCCGCU
rnacentral:misc_RNA from 1 species